rnacentral:rRNA from 1 species
GCCGUAAACGAUGAGCACUAAAAGUCGGGGAUACUCGGCUUUCAAGUUAACGCGAUAAGUGCUCCGCCUGAGUAGUACGUACGCAAGUAUAAAACUCAAAGGAAUUGGCGGGACCUCGCACAAGCGGUGGAUCAUGUUGUUUAAUUCGUUGAUACGCGAUGAACCUUACCAGGCCUUGACAUACCUUGCAAUGCACCAGAAAUGGCUGCGGAGGUUAUCAGGGAUACAGGUGGUGCAUGGCUGUCGUCAG